UACGAAGGGGGCUAGCGUUGUUCGGAUUUACUGGGCGUAAAGCGCACGUAGGCGGAUCUUUAAGUCAGAGGUGAAAUCCCAAGGCUCAACCUUGGAACUGCCUUUGAUACUGGGGACCUUGAGUCCGGGAGAGGUGAGUGGAACUGCGAGUGUAGAGGUGAAAUUCGUAGAUAUUCGCAAGAACACCAGUGGCGAAGGCGGCUCACUGGCCCGGUACUGACGCUGAGGUGCGAAAGCGUGGGGAGCAAACAGG
rnacentral:rRNA from 1 species